AAGUAACCAUCAACGGAUAAAGCAAGAGCUGCGGGUCCCACGCGGCGGUCUCCGGUUCGUUGUCGCGAGGACCCGACAGCGAGAGGCGAUGCGGAGAUGGAAUGGAACGGGAGGUUGGCAAAAGCAAGAAGAAGACAUCCGCCUAGUGGCCUCUUGAUCGAGGAAGCGAUGGUGGGUGGAUGUGGAGCUGCCCUACGUCAGGUGGCACAGCUGUGCGUGCUUACCCGCUAAUUCUAAUUCUAGGUUGUUGUGUGCUUAGUAUAUUCAGUCGCGUGGCGAGGGGAGGGGCAUCAAGUAGCAGAGUUGUGCCGGCGACUAAUCCGGGAGCAAAAGCGAAGGCCAACACAGCAAACUGCCUGGCUGGCUCUGUUCAAGAUUCCUCCGUUGCUUGCAAAGUGUCCGUGCUGGUUGGAGGAGCUUGCUCCGGUUCAUCAUCACCAAGGGUAGGUGUUCGUGGAAUUGCCCGCCUCCUUUGCAAUUGCAACAGCAGCGGCAGCGGAGUAAGUAAGGAAGGGCUAGGGAGAGCAGCAAGGAAAGGAUGGGCGUGCCGCGGGGGCUGUCGGCGUACAUGGUGGACAUGGUGUGGGCGGUGCUCGCCGGGUGGGUGUCGGCGUGCCUGCUGGUCGCCGACGAGAUCGCCCGCGGCAUGCGGGCCGGGGAGAUUGGCCCCUUCGUCGUGGGCUGAAUCUCACUUCGGGAACGGGAAAUCCUCCCUUCUGACUCCUUCCUUCACGCAGAUAGUUUUUUGGCGGAUCCAUCCAUGGAUACACAUUGCAUUAUACUGUACAGAGUCCCUAAAUCUCCAUUAGUGUUCAGCUGAAUGGCUUGGCCAUUGAUAGAAGUGACAGAGAUUCUAGAUGAUGUUUUCUUUUCUCCUUUCUUUCCACAAUUCUUCUGUUCUGUAUAGUAUUGUGAAGAAUUUAUUUUCCUUUUACAUUAUACGUAGUUCUCUGAAGAUAUGUGCAACUGCAUAAGAAUGUGUCAUAAACAUAUGUGCAACUUCAUGUUAUGUUCUUUUACAUUA